GCGAUCUCAACUCAUAUGUGACUACC
rnacentral:rRNA from 1 species